UCGGGAAUUUUGGGCAAUGGGCGAAAGCCUGACCCAGCAACGCCGCGUGAAGGAUGAAGUAUUUCGGUAUGUAAACUUCGAAAGAAUAGGAAGAAUAAAUGACGGUACUAUUUAUAAGGUCCGGCUAACUACGUGCCAGCAGCCGCGGUAAUACGUAGGGACCAAGCGUUGUUCGGAUUUACUGGGCGUAAAGGGCGCGUAGGCGGCAAUUCAAGUCAUCUGUGAAAUCUCCGGGCUUAACUCGGAACGGUCAGAUGAUACUGCUUUGCUAGAGUGCAGAAGGGGCAAUCGGAAUUCUUGGUGUAGCGGUGAAAUGCGUAGAUAUCAAGAGGAACACCUGUGGCGAAGGCGGCCACCUGGUUGGAUACUGACGCUGAGACGCGAAAGCGUGGGGAGCAAACAGGAUUAGAUACCCGCGUAGUCCCUGAGCGGGCUGGCAAGGCGCAU
rnacentral:rRNA from 1 species